GACGAACGCUGGCGGCGUGCUUAACACAUGCAAGUCGAACGGAAAGGCCCUGCUUUUGUGGGGUGCUCGAGUGGCGAACGGGUGAGUAACACGUGAGUAACCUGCCCUUGACUUUGGGAUAACUUCAGGAAACUGGGGCUAAUACCGGAUAGGAGCUCCUGCUGCAUGGUGGGGGUUGGAAAGUUUCGGCGGUUGGGGAUGGACUCGCGGCUUAUCAGCUUGUUGGUGGGGUAGUGGCUUACCAAGGCUUUGACGGGUAGCCGGCCUGAGAGGGUGACCGGCCACAUUGGGACUGAGAGACGGCCCAGACUCCUACGGGAGGCAGCAGUGGGGAAUAUUGCACAAUGGGCGGAAGUCUGAUGCAGCAACGCCGCGUGCGGGAUGACGGACUUCGGGUUGUAAACCGCUUUCGCCUGUGACGAAGCGUGAGUGACGGUAAUGGGUAAAGAAGCACCGGCUAACUACGUG
rnacentral:rRNA from 1 species